CAAAAAGUACAGCUUUGUUUUCAGUCCUGUUACAGGGUAUCCAUGGAAACGAGGAUGACUUUCCAAUCCUUUUCUGGGGAAGGCACUGCAUUCACUGCAAUACAGUCUCUUCAACUAAAAUUUUGCAAAACAGCUCCCCAGGGUGACUGCUUUUUAUCCAAAAAGCCUGCAGUACAGCUGGCUGGAGGGAGCUAGCCCCUUUUAACCCUCCCACAAAACUGGCAUUUCUCAGCAGGUCUGGGGAUCCUGCUUUCCAGCUGGAUUUCAUGGGAGAGGAGAGCAGCCAGCAUCUCCUGCUGACACCAAACCCCUUCCCAAGAUUUCUUCUUCUGCCACAGCGCUGCCAUGAGCAGGAGUUUGUUGUGAGCAUCCCAACACAUCUCUCAGCCAGCUCCUUCCCUGGCAGCACUGGAUUUGCUGAAGGGGGAUGGGACCCUACACUUUGCACUUGCUGCCAUUCCUGA
rnacentral:lncRNA from 1 species